GAGCGGCCCAAGCCCUAUCAGCUUGUUGGUAGGGUGACGGCCUACCAAGGCUACGACGGGUAGCCGGCGUGAGAGCGCGACCGGCCACAUCGGGACUGAGACACUGCCCGGACACCUACGGGUGGCUGCAGCAACGAAUAUUCCGCAAUGGGCGCAAGCCUGACGGAGCGACGCCGCGUGGAGGAUGAAGUCCUUCGGGAUGUAAACUCCUGUCAGGGGUUAGGAACGCAAUGACCAGCCCCAGAGGAAGGCACGGCUAACUCUGUGCCAGCAGCCGCGGUAAUACAGAGGUGCCAAGCGUUGUUCGGAAUCACUGGGCUUAAAGCGCGUGUAGGCGGGAUGGAAGGUGCUUGGUGAAAGCCCACGGCUCAACCGUGGAACGGCCGGGCAAACCAUCAUCCUUGAGGCAGGUAGAGGUUGCCGGAACGUUAGGUGGAGCGGUGAAAUGCGUAGAGAUCUAACGG
rnacentral:rRNA from 1 species